UUUUAGAAGAGCCUCUACCAUCUUCUGUCUACUGAGAAACGAUAAAACUAAAUGAUCUAAAGAAUAUAGGUAAGGUAUAUACAAAAUCCCUAUGCAGAAUGUUGAAGAUAACCCACUAGGAGUAUAUAUAGGAGUGAUGGCCUGGAACUUUAAAGAUAGGAUUGCUGAACACAAAAAGGAUAUAUCUAAAGGGAGCCUUAACACUGCAUUAGCGCAAAGGGCAAACGAAAAGGACACGAAAGUCAUCUGGCAAGAUGCCCAAAUUGUGAAAGAAGUCCAAGAUCGAAGAAUGCUACCAACAAUGGAGAAAGUUGAAAUCUUAAAAAAUAGCAAAAGCAAUAACGUCAUCAACAUUAGGC
rnacentral:lncRNA from 1 species